UAGUUUAGGUUUGGGAUUGGGGUUUUUCUUGUUUCUCUUUUGGCAUAAGAGACCACUGUUAGUCACCUGGUUGACAGAAUUGACACUGCUAUAAUUGCAACAGUCGUAUGAACAGCUUUAUUUUAACCUGUUAGCUGUAGCUUCAUUUCCCAGACAGCUGCUGAGGUAUGCAGGGGAAUACUAGGUGACCUUGCCACUGUUGAAACUCCUUCCAGGACUGCAUUGGCUGGUUUUGGAGCAUAUACCCUUCCAUUGUCCUUAGUGCUUGCAAAAGCAAGAAUUUUUGAUGAAACCAAAGGGUGAGGAGAGGUGCAUGUGUUCUACAAGAAAGUGGACUUUCAAGUACUGAUAACUUUACCCAAGGAAAGAAGCUUAAGGGCAUAUUUAUGUGCUGCAGUUUGUGCCUUUGAAAAUCUUUUAUGAUCAUUAAAGAGUAGAAUGAAGACUUUGAUAUAUUGUGUUUUGAGAACUGGAGUACUUUAUAGUUUCAUUUUAACUGCUAUUUUUAGGAGUCUAGCUUUUUUGCACCCAAAGUAGCAUCCUAUUUUUCCCUUGUCAAAUAAGGCUAUAACAAUCUAAAGUAUUAACACAAAUGAAAGCUCUGAAGAAAGUUAUUAAGAUAUAUGUUUUAAGCGUGGGCAUUAGUGUUUUUCAUCUCAGUGACUUGACUUUAUUGUGCUCAUAGAAAAACAAUUCUCUAAUAUUUUCAUUCUGAUAGUUUCAUUAAGCAUGAAUUCCUGUUUUACAAGACUAACUUACUGCAAAAUACCGAGGAUAUGGAAUUCUGCUAUUUCUAUGCAUUCUACUAUGGCAAAAUUAAUAUCAAGACUAAAUUAAGGGAAUCCAGUUUGUGUAAUGGAAGCAAUGAUGGAGCUUUUGGGAUCAGUUUGGGAUUCCAGAAUUUAGAGCACAUUACUGAGCCAGCAAGCUAUAUAAAUGUAAUUUAAUUUACAAUCUUUAUUUUGUAAGUCGUAUAUAAUCUUUUCAGCAGCAGCCAAAUUCAGCAUACUUUUAAGUUGCAUUUGUCCUGCAUUUCUUUCCUUAGGGAGAUGUGGCAUUUUGCUCAAUGAGAAAAUGUGACCAACCUUCCAAUAGCUGAUCCAGAUUAAGUAAUAAUUAGAUAUAAUUACUGUUCCUAGGGGGAAAGUAAUUCUGCCUUAUUGAAAUUCUUUUAUCUUCAAUUAACCUACUCUGUUCUUACUGGAAAUAUUAAGUGAAGUGCCAUCUUGCUCUAGGCACUUCUUCCAAAGCUGCUAACAUUUAUUUAAUUUGCCACCACUGCUCAGUUUUUGCAGUCUAGUGAGCCCCUUGUGUGUAGGUGGCACCAGUAAGGAGGAGUGUGUACUUGAAUAGCACUGGACUUGCUGAACACCUUGUUAGAGCAGCCUUCCAUCCCGUUCAUCUGCUUCUGUACGGAUCGAUGAGGGGGGUUGGUGACCCGCUUUUCUGUCCUCUCCCUAUAUCUUGCAUUAGAUUUCACAGGGUUGUGGAAGAGGAGGAGUGAUAAUAAUUUCUUUCUCUUUCUCUUUUUCUGCCUAGUAAUGAACUAGGUUUUAUUACUUCUGCUGCUCAUGGGAUCUCUUGUGUAACUUUUGUUCCAUUUUCAUAGAGCAACAAUAACCUUGCUUGGCAUUAACAGAUCCAAUGCAUAUGUGAUGUGCAGGUUAUUUGGAAUUUAGAGGUCAGACCCAGAGUUUUCUGGCAGAACAGGUGUCCAGGAGAGGAAAGACUAGAGCCUGAGGGACGCUGUCUAGCUCAGUUCUAGUUUAGGUUUGUUUGGAUACACCUUCUCGUUAGAAAAACAUCCUUCUUUCUGUGCUGACAAACUGUAUGUUGAAUGUGUCUAUGGUUUUGACUACAAGUAUAAACCUAAAACUAUUUUGAAAUGGUCAGCUGGUAAAGUGUGGGAUACAACUGGCUUCAGAACUGAAACAGGUUUAUGUUGCAGCAAUUUAUCCUGGGGACUUUGAUUUCAUUUCAAUUAACAGAAUCUAUUUUUUUAUGCUUACAAACCCAUUAAGUUAGUUGGGUAGUCAACGUCAUUCUUCAUUCCCUGCUUCUUGUUUUCUCACUGUUCUUUAUCAUUCUGUACAGAGUAAAUCUAAUCCAGUAUAUUUCUGGAUGUAGCUUGAUCAUAUGGGCUAGCACUCUGCUGUCUUCUGGGGGGAGGAUGUAAAGAACUGUUAAGCCCUUUAAAUAGACUAAGGUGAUAAUUUAGUAUAGUCAGCCAUACCCCGCUAGCUAACAUAGCAAUGCACUGACAAAGCCAAAAAUUAAAGCAAACGGUAAAGUUUAGUCUUAAGGAAAAUUUAUCCACAGAUCUCAACGAGCCUUAAACAAGUAAAUAUAAGGAGCAAAAUUGUCUUCUGUUAAUUCAUGUUGACGAAAUUUCCCAAAACUGGCUCAUCUAUAGAAGAGAACAUCAGAUCCUCAGCAUCUUCUUAUCCAGGUAGUCAUUUGUGUCCUGCACCUGCUAGCACAAUUGUGAAUUUUAGGCUGGAAAAAUCAUGUGUGGAUGUUUGGCAACUGCUGGUAACUGAAUUUGGGGGACCAUUUAUUUUGACGAUACUUAGAAUAAGGAUGACUGUAAAAGCCAAAUGCAUCCAUAUCUUAGGCCUGAAAACUUUUAAUUUUUGACCUUACUUGUUCUCUUUGCCAUUUAGCUUGUCUUAGUUUUCAUUAGUAGCUUCUCAGUCCAAAGUGUAGUGUGUCAUUUUUAUUGAGAAAAAACUAGCUUUCAGAAAUAUGUUAUACACCCUACAAAUUAAGCACUAAUUCCAGCUAGCACAUCUUAAAGUGUGACACUGGCAACCUUUUACAUGUUUAUCAUCAGUUGUGCUGUUUUAAUAGUGACUUCACAUCAGAAAGCACUUAUGUCAACAGGUUGUUUAAGGAAGAUAGCUUCUUUUUCCUCCUGUUUGCUAAACAAAUAUUAAUUUACUGUACUACCUCAGUCUGUAUCUUGCCUGCCAGCUAACUUUUUGAAGUCUGCAUUGCAGAAGUUCACAGUGGUGCCCUUUGGGACCAGGUGACCUGGGAGGAAAUAUCCCACUACUGGAGUAAUUGACAAAGUUAUGUUUUCCGUGUAUUUUUGAGAGGGUUUUUCGCUAGCCAAUUUCAGUUUUAAGGACACAACUGAGGCUUUCUUUUGAGGCUUUUUUUGAGGUUCCUUUUUAAAUUACAUGUCACUUGAAAAUUUUUAUUGCUUGGAGACUGAUAUUUUGAGCAUGGUGUUGUAGCCAAGGAAAUAAAUAAUUUUGAGGUUUUCCCUUCCCAGAACUCUGUCCAUCUUUAAGGUCUUGAGGGUAAUAGUUAGCUCCUGAUAGGUGCUUGCUGCUGCUUUUGGAAAGGAAAAGAGAAAGCACUAAGGGAAGGUUUUUUUCUUUUCUCCCUUUUUUUUUUUUUUUAAAGUAUCACUUCCUGGUUUUCUUUUAAAAUGCAGCUACUAUCUGUUGGCUACAAUAGAAGUGAUAUAUUGGAAACAGAUGGCACACCUAUGCAAAAGACUUAAACCUGAUGCAUGGACACACAUCCAUCAGGAGCCUUGAGAGAGCUUAGUCUAUUGUAUGGUGACCACCAGUUGAGUAUUCAAAGACAAAACAUACUAAGAUCAUUUCAGUCCAUCUUGCAUAUCUCUUGAGUGUGUCUGGUACUCAUCUGCAUAAGCAAAAGUGUGGUCAUUCCUAUAAAUGACAGUUGGAGUGUUUAUAUUACAGUCCUGUGUUUUAUAAGUGCUCUUGCGAAAUUACUGCAGUUGAUUCUAGAAUGUAUUCCAACUAAUGGAAAACUUUACAACCUGUAACUUGUUGACAAAUCAAAAGUUGACCUGAAUUUCUACCAGAUGCAGUCUCCUUGGUUGACAGACAUUGACAGCACUAAAACAUUGGAGUAGGACCUAAUGGAAUUAAUUCACUGUGUACAGUUGGGUAUUUUUAACAUGUUCUGUUCCCAUAAAAUGGGUUGUGCGGUUUCACUCUGUGAUAGUGUUUUAUGCUUCUAAUGUGGGGGACAAAUACAUGUCAGUCUGCUAUCAGAAGACAAAUCUGUAUUGGAAACUAACUAGAGUCUUUUUGUUGUCUUCUUUCCUUUUAGUACUGGAUGAAUGAAUAUACUUCUUCCCUUGGAAUUGGAGUGUUCCAUUCAGGUAUAGAGGUGUAUGGCCGAGAAUUUGCCUAUGGUGGUCAUCCAUACCCUUUUUCUGGAAUAUUUGAAAUUUCACCAGGAAAUGCUUCUGAGCUAGGAGAAACAUUUAAAUUUAAAGAGGCUGUGGUUCUAGGCAGUACUGACUUUAUGGAAGAUGAUGUAGAAAAAAUAGUAGAAGAGCUUGGAAAAGAAUUCAAAGGAAAUGCUUAUCACCUAAUGCACAAAAACUGCAAUCACUUUUCUUCCGCUUUAUCUGAGAUUCUGUGUGGAAAAGAGAUUCCACGAUGGGUGAAUCGCCUUGCCUACUUCAGCUCUUGUAUACCGUUUCUCCAGAGCUGUCUGCCAAAGGAGUGGCUAACUCCUGCCGCCCUCCAGUCUAGUGUUAGCCAGGAGCUACACGAUGAGCUGGAGGAAGCUGAGGAUGCAGCAGCAUCAGCUUCCUUGGCAAGCUCAGCAUCUGGGUCUAGAACUGGACGCCACACCAAAUUAUAAGUCCUCCUCCAAAGUAACAAAUGGUUUGAAAUACUUCAGUUUAAUCUCUUCAGCAAUUGACUUCCUGACAGAACACGAGAGCUGACUCUAGAACAUUGGUUUUAUAUGCAAAAAAGGCUCUCAUCAAGCCCUGUUUCAGCUCAGGAUUAUUUAUGUAGUGAAAAGAAUUGCUGGGAGAAAAGGGAAGGAAGGAAUUUGUGUGAAGCCACCCUUUUCAUUUUCACCUGUUUGGUAGACCUGGGUUAACUUAACAUCUUGUAUAAAGCAGAAUUUAAAUUAUUUGUUUACAGUAUUGUGUACUGCUGUUUACAAGUCCUGUAAGGACUCCUUCCAUCAUUUAAGAAGAGAGAAUUUGAGUUUGAUUAACUGUUGGUAUAAUUCAAAAGCAAUGGUAUCAUGCCCUGGAUGAACUCUCCCCAUUUUGUUUUCAAGACUUAAGGCAGGUGAACAUUAAAUUUCUGAGAAAUGCCAGAAACUGCUGAAUAUUAUAGAUGUGAACAGGGUACUGUGCGCUUGAAGUGGCUGAUGUAAGCAGGUAGAUUCCAGGAUGUAAGGAGACUGGUUUUGUCUAAGAUCUGUUUUUAGAAGUAUGACCUCUACAUUAAUGAAACUGUGGAUUUUUGCACAUAUGAAGGGAAAUUUCUAUCUCAUUGCAAUGCACAUUGAUCCCUUUUUUUUAACUCAGCCAUGUAGUUUGCAUCCUAUCUUCUGUCUGUAUUUACAGUCUACUUCAACCACGAUUUAGACAUGUGAAUAUCAUCUGUUAAAAGCAUCAACGAAUUUUUCACUGUUUGCUUUACUUGAUUUCAAACUUGUAUAUGCAAGUUAGUACUUGUAUUCUAUUUUUUUGUUUCAUGUAGUUUGGAAUAGUGUAAUACGAGCCAUUUAUGGUUGGGGAAUGGCCUUGCUUUCUGCUGCUGAUUUUGCUUCAUUUGAGUUUGUAAACAUUUGUGUCCUUUUUUUUUAGCUAUAAAUUACUGCCCAGUUGUGCAUAUCUGCACAAAUUAUAGAGAAAUCCUAAUUUAUUUUCCCACAGUCUCUGUCUGUGGCAUUAACUUUCUUGUCAGAUGUAAUGAAGAAAAACCUGAAAAUUGCUUAUGCACCUGCGUGUUUACACAGCAGAACCCACUAAUCUGCACACAUAAUUAUAUCUGAAGUGAAAAUGAAUAAGGUGGUCUCCAGUCAACUCUCAAGCAUUACAGAACUGAAUCUCACACUACUUACAGCUAAGACAAGGCCGCAGACAGGUUAUUUUGUCUCUGCUGUGCAGCUGUGUGGUAGUCAUGUGACUUAAGUCUCUUGGCCGAGGCAGGUCCUUUAUUUCAGCUCAGGGUUGAGGCCACUGAUCUAGCAAUGUACUGUAGCUUUUCCUAGGUUUUAGGAAAAAUAAAUAGAAUGAAUUUUCAUUGCUACCUAACUUUUAUGUACCAAAAUCAGCUUUUUAGGCUUCUGAUACAUCCAGAGCGCUAGGUCACAAAUCUCUACACCUUCAUUAAUACACACAACUACAGCAUGUACAAUGCAAGAACGUGACAGAUCACAGCACAGUUUUUAUUUAGAAGUAAAACUAAGACUAUUUUUUAUAAAGCAGACUGAAAAGUUUGUAACAAAAACAUUCAUUUUAUUGGUAGCUGUACAGGUGAAAAUACUGUCUUAUGCUCCUUUUUUGUUUUGUUUUGUUUCAAAAUCAUCAAUUUGUAAAUCCUGUGAGGAAACUGACACCUGAACCCUGAAAGCUGUUGAGUAUUGUAUGAAAGCAAGUGGUACUGUAACUUCAGUUGCAUGCUGUCAACUCAGCCUCCAUUGGAUGCCUCCAAGAAGUUGCCCUGCCAGUGGUUACUCCGAUUUGUUAGCAAUAGAGCAAGUUACCUUUCACCAGCAUCACUGCCAAGCAGGGAUUACUUUAGCCUACUAAUGACCACACUGUGCUAGGACUAGAGCACUCCAAAAUGCUGUGAGGAAGCUGGACACCUGUGGAGUCUUUUCCAUCAAAACGGGUAGAAAAAUAUCACUACUUCAGGGUUCUACUCUGUUUACUUUCUCAUUCUUGUUUAAUUUUCUGUAAGAUAGUAAUUUUGAUACAUAUUAUAUUCUUUAACUCAAAGUCAUUUUAUUUAAAUGCCAUUUUCGGUUCAGCAAGCCAAAAAAAUCCAAUGUACUGUCAAUGUGCACCAGUAACUUCAGAGUGGCUUGGUAAAUACAUAGUUGCAUUACUUCUAAAAUUUGCAAUGCAAUUCCGAUCACUAUUGAUACAUGGUAAUUUUCACUGUUGGAAGUUGGUUAUAAGCUGAAUAUUCACUGAUGCAUUUUUUGUAAACUUGUAUUCAAGUUUACUGUACUACAUAGUAUUUGUAUAAAAUUCAAAGAAUUUUGACUUUUGUUACCUGUACAUGGCAACAAGUUGUCUAGCAUCUGAAACUUAAAUCCAUCAGUUUAUUAAAAAUACUUUUAUAAAAAAA